UACGAAGGGGGCUAGCGUUGCUCGGAAUCACUGGGCGUAAAGCGCACGUAGGCGGGUCGUUAAGUCAGGGGUGAAAUCCCGGAGCUCAACUCCGGAACUGCCUUUGAUACUGGCGAUCUUGAGUUCGAGAGAGGUGAGUGGAACUGCGAGUGUAGAGGUGAAAUUCGUAGAUAUUCGCAAGAACACCAGUGGCGAAGGCGGCUCACUGGCCCGGUACUGACGCUGAGGCACGAAAGCGUGGGGAGCAAACAGG
rnacentral:rRNA from 1 species